rnacentral:lncRNA from 1 species
AUGGUGGUGGCCAUCCCUGUGAUCACAGCAGCCACGACCACAUUGGUGGCCAUUUCCAUGACCAUGGUAGCCAUGACGAUGCUGGUGGCCAUCCCCAUGACCACAGCAGCCAUGACCUCAUUGGUGACCUUCACUAUUGCUACGAUGACUUUGGUGGCCAACUCCAUGACCACGGUAUCCACAUCCAUUCUGGUGGCCAACUCCAGGACUGCAGUCGCCACAACCACUUUGGUUGCCACCUCUGUGACCAUGGCAGCCAUGACCAUGUUCGUGGCCAUCUCCAUGACCACAGCAGCCACGACCACUUUGGUGACCUUCUCUGGAGCCACGAUGACUUUGGUGGCCAACUCCAUGACCAUGGUAGCCACAUCCAUUCUGGUGGCCAUCUCUGUGACCAUGGUCGUCACAAUCAUGUUGGUGGCCAUCUCCAUGAGCACGGUAGCCACAUCCAUUCCGGUGGCCAACUCCAGGACUACAGUAGCCACAACUACUUUGGUUGCCACCUCUGUGACCAUGGUAGCCAUGACCAUGCUGGUGGCCAUCACCAUGACCACAGCAGCCAUGACCUCAUUGGUGACCUUCACGGUUGCCACAACCAUUUUGGUGGCCAACUCCAUGACCAUGGUAGCCACAUCCAUUCUGGUGGCCAUCUCCCGGUCUGCAGUAGCCACAGCCACUUUGGUGGCCAUCUCCAUGACCACAGCAGCCACAACCACUUUGGUGGCCAUUUCCAUGACCAUGGUAGCCACAACCACAUUGGUUGCCAUCCCCGUGACCAAGGUCACACAACCGUGCUGGUGGCCAUCUCAUCCCUGUGACCAAGGUAGCCAUGACCAUGCUGGUGGCCAUCCCCAUGACCACGGUAGCCACAUCCAUUCUGGUGGCCAUCUCCAGCAGUACAGUGGCCACAACCACUUUGGUGGCCAUCUCCAUGACCACGGUAGCCACAUCCGUACUGGUGGCCAUCCCCAGGACUAUGGUAGCUACAACCUCUUUGGUGGCCAUCCCUGUGACCAAGGUCACACAACCAUGGUGGUGGCUAUCCCCAUGACUACAGCAGCCACAACCACUUUGGUGGCCAUUUCCAUGACCAUGGUAGCCACGACCACGUUGGUUGCCAUCUCUGUGACCAAGGUAGCUACAGCCAUGCUGGUGGCCAUCUCAUCCCUGUGA